GCAUUACUGUGGCAGUCGGUCUUUUGUUUACUUUCUUGGUUGCUCAAACAUUUUUAGCCAUGCUUUGCCAUUUUAAGGCAGGGAUUUUCUUCUUCUUUGGAGGAUGGGUGGCAUUUAUGACGACAUUUGUGCACUUCUUUUUACCUGAGACAAAAAAUUUACCAAUUGAGCAGAUGGAUAAACUGUGGGUAGAGCAUUGGUUUUGGAGGAGAAUAGUUGGGGAAGGAGUGGAAGACAGUAAGAUACAAGAAGCACUAUAAUACUUGUAAGGGAUACCAGGAAACAAUAAACUCAUCACUUUUUCCAAAGGCUGGCUAGCUGCUCUUUCUUCUUGCUCUGAUAGUGAAGCCAAAUAAAACUCCAAGCUCUGAUGUUAAUUCUUCAAAAUAUUUGUAACAGCCCCACAUGCUACUAUAAUAAUAUAUAUUUUUUUUUUAUCAUAGUGUUCCAUGUUGAUCAUAUGGUGAUGCUGAUAUUAUUGUCUACGCCUACAUAAUUCAAGAGAGAGAGAGAGAGAUCCUCUUACUUUAUUAAGCCUUCACUAUCUGCAAAAUUUUGAACACACUACUCUGUCUUCUCGUGUCGUCUUUCUCUUGCUGUGAGUGCUGAUCAGUUUUGAAGAUUAAGCAGCAGCAGAUAUGGCGGUGGGCUUAGCAUUUACUAGUGAAGGUGGUGGGCAAUAUUACAAUGGGAAGAUGACUCCAUUUGUUGUCCUGUCAUGUAUUGUUGCUGCCACUGGAGGUCUUACUUUCGGCUAUGAUCUUGGAAUUUCAGGUUUGUUUCUGCACAUUUGUAUCUCCUUAAUGAUAUUUAUACAAUCCAAUUGGCUUGAUCAAUCUCGUUCCUCAAAUUACCUUGAUUCUGUUCAAUUCUCUCACCGAUCAAUGAUCUCGGAUUAAGCUAUAGCUAGCGGACUUUCUUAGGCUCUCUAUAGCACUCUUGUUGUCUAACAGCAGCUAUAAAAUGGCUGGCAAAUAUUCAUAACCAUAGUUUGGGAAGUUCAAGUGAUUCUACUAUACAAUUGUUUGAUAAAAUACCUAUGUUAUCCCUAAUAUUUUUGUCCAAAUUAUUGUUUAAAUUCAUGUUUAUAAAAAAAAAUAAAAAAUCUAUUUCACAGCAGUUUGACAUAAAAAAUUUCUCUCCUAAUCUCUCGUAGUGAAAUAAGUGGCCAAGAUUGAAUUUUAAAUUUUGAUAUUAACAAUUAAACCAGCUUUGUUUAUUUUAUUACAAUUAAAACAACUUUUUUUUUAUUAAAUUUAAAAGACUAGGAGAGACUGGGAGAGAAAAACACUAGGAGAAGAUACUAAUUCGAAAAAAUCAUACCACCACAAUUCCAAACAGAGGCUUAGUUGUUAACUUGUUACUGUUUUACUUUAGUUACAAUUAAAAGUAGGGAAAUUGUCAGUUUUCUUAUUACUAAAGUCAAUAUAUACCUUCUUGUCCUAAUGGGUAUGGUCUUAUUCUUGAUGAUUGUCUAGCUUUAGCUAAGUCUAUAGGAGAUAUUGAGUUCUCUUUUGUUCAAAGGUCUGCGAACACUGCCGCCCAUGUUACUGCUCGGGUGGGGGGUUCUUUGUCAGGCUUUGAGGAGUGGAAUCAUGUUCCACCUCCUUGGUUAUUUACUUCUCUGUAAUCUUUGCCCUUUAAUGAAGUUUCCAGUUUCAAAAAAAAAAAAAAGAGCCCUUCAUAUCUCCACUUUCGUGAAAUUGCACAAAAGGCCAUAAAUGGAUGGUAGAAGAAAAAGUUGAUCAUCAUCCAUCACGAAGAAAAUCUCGCAUGGAGUUGCUUUAUGCUGGCUCCCAAUAAUUGUUUGACCGGAUGAAAUUCCUACGUAUUUCUGGACCUGUCUACGAUACAGAUUCUGUAACAAACAUCACCCAUCAUCCCACCAUCCCAUUUUCUAUUGUUUAGUUUCUCACUCCGCAUCCAACCACAUCCAACGGCUGAUACUGCAGUCUGUAGCUUACGGAUUCUGUAAGCUAGUCAAGUCCCGUAUUUCUUUCAUUCAUUUCCCAUAAAUUUUGAAAUAAAUAAAUUUCAAUUUCUAAGUAUUUGAGGCCGGCCACGUACAAAAUCAAUUGGGCAUGCCCUGAUAUUGCCUCGAAGUCACGUAGUGCAGAAGUGAAGCCAUUUUAGGGUAUGUAUUAAAAAAGAUAAAGAUCCUCUCCUAAUCUGGGCUCUCAUAAGCUUUUAAUAAUCGUUUAUCAUGUGUAUUUAAGUGAUAGUCUAUUAAUAUAAUUUGACUUCUUCAUUUUCUUUACUUAUUAACUACCAAUCACCCAUAUAUAUUUUUGUUCAGGAAUAAAUCAGAUCAUGAGAGAAUCUUAAUCCUUUAAAAAAACCCAAUAAAAAAUAAUUUUCAAAUGAGAAAACAUCGAAUUAAUGAUAAAUAUAAAUUUAUAGAAAAUAAUUUAAAAUAUUAUUAAUAAAAAAAUUUAAAGAUAUUAAAAUAAAUUAUGAAUAAUAAUAUUAAUAGUUAACUUAAUCUUAAUUAUUCUCAGCAGAGUUCUAUUGCUCUAUUUCUUGAUAUGUUUUUACAUACUGUAGGAGUCAACGAAUCCCUUGGUAUCACAAAGCUUGCUUGGCAUGAUAGUGACGGAUUUGAAAAUGAUUGCAAGGAUCAUUAUUAAUAGAUUUCCAACUAUUUGCUUUUGACAGAUAUCAAGGUUUACUUUUUCAGUAGCCCUGAGACGAAGGGAAAAAUACAAAAACGUGCAACAAGUAGUUGCAUGUCCGUUUCUUAUAAAAAGGAUCACGUAAACUUGAAAACAUCAACCUACUUGUUUAAUUAAUUUUGGUGAAUACAAAGGAAAAAGACAAAAAAAGAAAAAGAAAAAGGAAUGGAUAGGUAUGAAAGAAUCGUGCAUUUGAGUAAAAUUUUCUACCGAAUUUAAAAUAUUGACUUGUGAAGGUGGAGUGACAUCGAUGGAACCAUUUCUGAAGAAAUUCUUCCCAGAAGUGAACAGAAAUAUUGACUUGUGAAGGUGGAGUGACUUUCUACCGAAUUUAAAAUAUUGACUUGUGAAGGUGGAGUGACAUCGAUGGAACCAUUUCUGAAGAAAUUCUUCCCAGAAGUGUACAAAAACAUGAGAGAAGACACCAAUGUUAGCAACUACUGCAAGUUUAACAGCCAACUAUUAACCACCUUCACCUCCUCUCCAUUCAUUGCUGGCCUUAUUGCUUCCUUAUUUGCUUCCAAAGUCACGAGAGCCCUCGGCCGCAAGGCAUCAAUCCUGGUCGGUGGCGUGGCUUUUCUAGCCGGCUCAGCCCUCGGCGGUGCUGCAUUUAACGUGUACAUGUUGAUACUUGGGCGCGUGUUGCUUGGAGUUGGCAUUGGUUUUUCUAACCAAGUAAGUGUUUCAUAAAUUUUCUCCAGAUGUUUGAGCAUUCUCGUUUUAAGUUCAAUUUGUAUUGGCUGCAGUCAGUGCCACUGUAUCUCUCAGAAAUGGCACCACCAAAACACAGAGGAGCAUUCAACAUUGGCUUCCAAGUAUGUACUGCCAUUGGAGUUCUAGGAGCUAAUCUUCUUAACUACGGUACCCAAAAGAUCAAGGGCGGCUGGGGCUGGAGAAUCUCCCUUUCAAUGGCUGCAGCCCCUGCUUCAAUACUAACACUGGGUGCUCUUAUCCUGCCAGACACACCCAACAGCAUAAUCCAGCGUAGCAAUGGCCACGAAAAGGCUAAAAAAAUGCUGCAACGUGUCCGCGGCACAGCUGACGUUCAAGCAGAACUUGAUGAUCUUAUCAGAGCAAGCAUUGUUUCAAGAACUGUCAAACACCCAUUUAAGACAAUCAUUCAAAGAAAAUACAGGCCUCAGCUAGUAAUGGCAAUACUGAUACCAUUUUUCCAACAAGUGACAGGAAUCAAUGUCAUUUCAUUCUACGCCCCGGUACUCUUCAGGACUAUUAAGCUAAGUGAAAGUACAUCACUACUCAUGUCCGCAGUUGUGACUGGCGGGGUAAGCACCAUAGCAACAAUCACAUCGAUGAUUCUAACCGAUAAACUAGGCCGGAAAGUGUUAUUUCUGGUUGGGGGAAUACUAAUGUUUGUGUCGCAAGUAAUGAUUGGAUCAAUCAUGGCAGCUGAGCUUGGUGAUCAUGGUGGCAUCAGCGAAGGCUAUGCUUACUUAGUUUUAGCACUGGUAUGUGUAUACAUAGCUGGGUUUGCGUCCUCUUGGGGGCCAUUGGGAUGGUUGGUUCCGAGUGAGAUUUUUCCAUUGGAGAUUAGAUCAGCAGGGCAAAGUAUUACUGUUGCAGUUGGAUUUUUGUUUUUUUUCUUGGUAGCUCAGAGCUUUUUAGCCAUGCUUUGCCAUUUGAAGGCAGGGAUUUUUUUCUUUUUUGGAGGAUGGGAGGUGGUGAUGACUGUUUUUGUGCACUUCUUUUUACCAGAGACUAAAAAUGUGCCAAUUGAGCGGAUGGAUAAAGUGUGGAGAGAGCAUUGGUUUUGGAAGAGAAUUGUUGGGGAUGUGGCGGAAG
rnacentral:lncRNA from 1 species